rnacentral:rRNA from 1 species
GAUGAACGCUGGCGGCGUGCCUAAUACAUGCAAGUCGAGCGAACAGACGAGGAGCUUGCUCCUCUGACGUUAGCGGCGGACGGGUGAGUAACACGUGGAUAACCUACCUAUAAGACUGGGAUAACUUCGGGAAACCGGAGCUAAUACCGGAUAAUAUAUUGAACCGCAUGGUUCAAUAGUGAAAGACGGUUUUGCUGUCACUUAUAGAUGGAUCCGCGCCGCAUUAGCUAGUUGGUAAGGUAACGGCUUACCAAGGCAACGAUGCGUAGCCGACCUGAGAGUGGGAUAGGCGACACUAGAACUGAUGCAAGGAGAAGAGAACUACGGGAGGAAGAAGGAGGGAAUAGUGAUGAAGGGGCGAAAGACGGAAGGAUCAAGUGAGAGGAAGGGAUAAAGGGCUGAGGAUAGUAAAAAUCUGUUAUGAGGCAAGAACAGAUGUGUAAGGGAAUGUGCACACCUUGACGGGAGAUAAUCAGAAAGACAAGGCUAGGUAAGUG